ACGGAAGGCAGCAGUGGGGAAUAUUGGACAAUGGGGGAAACCCUGAUCCAGCGACGCCGCGUGAGUGAAGAAGUAUUUCGGUAUGUAAAGCUCUAUCAGCAGGGACGAUAAUGACGGUACCUGACUAAGAAGCCCCGGCUAACUACGUGCCAGCAGCCGCGGUAAUACGUAGGGGGCAAGCGUUAUCCGGAUUUACUGGGUGUAAAGGGAGCGUAGGUGGCCAUGCAAGUCAGAUGUGAAAUCCCGGGGCUCAACCCCGGAGCUGCAUUUGAAACUGCGUAGCUAGAGUGCAGGAGAGGUAAGCGGAAUUCCUAGUGUAGCGGUGAAAUGCGUAGAUAUUAGGAGGAACACCAGUGGCGAAAGCGGCUUGCUGGACUGCAACUGACACUGAGGCUCGAAAGCGUGGGGAGCAAACAGGAUUAGAUACCCUGGUA
rnacentral:rRNA from 3 species